rnacentral:rRNA from 1 species
GAUGAACGCUAGCGGCAGGCUUAACACAUGCAAGUCGAGGGGCAUCGAGAGUAGCAAUACUUGUCGGCGACCGGCGCAAGGGUGCGUAACACGUGAGCAACAUACCCGUUUCAGGAGGAUAACCGGAGGAAACUCUGCCUAAUACUCCAUGACAUCAUCAAACGGCAUCGUUUGAUGAUUAAAGAUUUAUCGGAAACGGCUUGGCUCGCGGGACAUUAGCUUGUUGGUGAGGUAACGGCUCACCAAGGCUACGAUGUCUAGGGGUUCUGAGAGGAAGGUCCCCCACACUGGAACUGAGACACGGUCCAGACUCCUACGGGAGGCAGCAGUGAGGAAUAUUGGACAAUGGUCGGAAGACUGAUCCAGCCAUGCCGCGUGAAGGUUACUGUCCUAUGGAUAUUAAACUUCUUUUGAUGAGAGCAAAUAAGGUGCACGCGUGCACCGAUGAGAGUAUCAUACGAAUAAGCAUCGGCUAAC